rnacentral:rRNA from 1 species
UAACGAGCGCAACCCUUGUCCUUAGUUACCAGCACGUUAUGGUGGGCACUCUAAGGAGACUGCCGGUGACAAACCGGAGGAAGGUGGGGAUGACGUCAAGUCAUCAUGGCCCUUACGGCCUGGGCUACACACGUGCUACAAUGGUCGGUACAAAGGGUUGCCAAGCCGCGAGGUGGAGCUAAUCCCAUAAAACCGAUCGUAGUCCGGAUCGCAGUCUGCAACUCGACUGCGUGAAGUCGGAAUCGCUAGUAAUCGUGAAUCAGAAUGUCACGGUGAAUACGUUCCCGGGCCUU